rnacentral:sRNA from 1 species
CGACGACGGCGACGUGUACGUGUGUGUGUUUUGUUGUUGUUGCUACUGCUGCUUAUCCAGUCCAAAUGUCAGCUGUUUCACGCAACAUGUACCAUAAAAGCGGCACAGCCACAGCCAAACGCAGAAAAAGAGCUUAUCGAUCAAGCCCCGCAGGACAAGAGAAAAAGCAAAAACAAGAGGCACCCGAGCGCUGCUAACAACGUAAACAACAA